UACGUAGGUGGCAAGCGUUGUCCGGAGUUAUUGGGCGUAAAGCGCGCGCAGGCGGUUGGAUAAGUCCAUGGUGAAAGCGCCUGGCUCAACUAGGCGAGUGCCGUGGGGACUGUUCAGCUGGAGUGGAGCAGAGGCGAGUGGAAUUCCGGGUGUAGUGGUGAAAUGCGCAGAUAUCGGGAAGAACACCCGUGGCGAAGGCGGCUGCUCUGGGACGGUACUGACGCUGAGACGCGAAAGCGUGGGGAGCGAACGAGG
rnacentral:rRNA from 1 species